CAGCAGCCGCGGUAAUCCGUAGGUGGCAAGCGUUGUCCGGAAUUAUUGGGCGUAAAGGACUCGCAGGCGGUUUCUUAAGUCUGAUGUGAAAGCCCCCGGCUCAACCGGGGAGGGUCAUUGGAAACUGGGAAACUUGAGUGCAGAAGAGGAGAGUGGAAUUCCACGUGUAGCGGUGAAAUGCGUAGAGAUGUGGAGGGACACCAGUGGCGAAGGCGACUCUCUGGUCUGUAACUGACGCUGAGGAGCGAAAGCGUGGGGAGCGAACAGGAUUAGAUACCCCCGUAGUCCCUGUCUCUUAUAC
rnacentral:rRNA from 1 species